rnacentral:lncRNA from 1 species
UCCAAUUUUUGUGAUUGAUGGUAUACAGCCAACUACAGGAAAACUUUUCUUUCCUUGUGGAUAACAUAUAUGUCUAUUGGCAGGAUCAACCAGGCAGCUGUUUUAUUAACUACUCGAAAAAGAAGAUAGCAAUAACAAAGAUAAUCAGUGUUCUCUACUUUUUAAUACGAGAAAGACAAACGUAUCCUAAAGUUACUACCUAUAUUUUUUGAAAAUACACCACAACUAUAACUGUUUUUCCCAUAGCUACGGAUGCAUCUGAAACAUGGACUUUGAAGAAAGCAGAUACAAACAAAAUAGAGGCUUUUGAGAUGUUGGUAUACCGCCGCAUGUUGAGAAUAUCCUGGGUUGAACAUUGAACAAAAGUAUCCCCAAUAGAACAACUUAAUAAGGAUAGAUUGCUUAAACAAAUGCAACAGAAAUACAGUAUUCUGGACACAUUGCCAGAAGAACAGCCACGAUGGUAAAACUUAUCGUCGAGGUCAAAGUUAAAGGAAAAAGACCGAGGGAAAGAUAUUAAAGCCGUUAAGUGGGUCAUAUAAAAACACUGAUCAAGAGGACGAACAACUAGCCCAGAACAGAGAAUGAUGGAAAGAUUUUUUAAGAAUUUAAGAUGAGGAGGAGCAGAAUAACUAUUUUAAGUAUUUUAAAGAAUAAAAUAUAUUAAUCAGUUUCGUGUUGAUACUUCCAAAUAAGUUUUUUAUAUUUAUCAUUUACAACUGUAUCAUGUGACAUAUUUUAUUAGUGAACCACCCUUUUCGAAUUAUCUUUACAGUUAUCUCAGAUAGUGUGAAUAUCAAAACCACAAGUGUUUAAGAUUGCCCUUGAAGUAUGCAAUGAUAGGUACUAAAAGCAAAACGUCAACGUAUUCAUAGCUGCAAACCUAUAUUUUCUAUAAUUUUAACGAUAGUGUUAGUGUUAUCGAGUUUAUAGUUGUUUUAAAGCCACCAUAACACUUUUUAUUGUCGACCUACAUAAAUGCUUUCAAUCGAGCUUAUCAAUAGCUACGGAAAAUCGUUUGAAUGACUUUUGAAAACUAUCGAAAAUCUUAUACAUCGUUUGUUUCUACAGUAGUUGACAAGUUAUGUCAUUUAUAAAUUCAUAACAGGACACAAAUCUAUGAAAGAUAGAAAAAUCCAGGGAAUUUAUCAUUAAGUCUGUGUAUUUCAUUGAUUAUAGCAAAGUAUUUGACCCAGUAAACUGAGAGCUCUGUAUCACCUGAUAAUAUGACUAAUACAAAAUAUUUACAAUAAAAAUGAUUUUUUUA